rnacentral:rRNA from 1 species
AACGUAGGAGGCAAGCGUUAUCCGGAUUUACUGGGCGUAAAGCGUGUGCAGGCGGUUUGAUAAGUUGUGCGUGAAAGCUUCAGGCUAAACCUGAAGAGGCCGUGCAAGACUGUGAAACUAGAAUCCAUCAGAGGCAAGCAGAAUUCCAGGUGUAGUGGUGAAAUGCGCAGAUAUCAGGAAGAACACCCGUGGCUAAGGCGGCUCUCUAGUACGGUACUGACGCUGAGACGCGAAAGCGUGGGGAGCGAACAGG